UACGAAGGGGGCUAGCGUUGUUCGGAAUUACUGGGCGUAAAGCGCACGUAGGCGGACAUUUAAGUCAGGGGUGAAAUCCCGGAGCUCAACUCCGGAACUGCCUUUGAUACUGCGGGUCUCGAGUCCGGGAGAGGUGAGUGGAACUGCGAGUGUAGAGGUGAAAUUCGUAGAUAUUCGCAAGAACACCAGUGGCGAAGGCGGCUCACUGGCCCGGUACUGACGCUGAGGUGCGAAAGCCAGGGGAGCAAACGGG
rnacentral:rRNA from 1 species